rnacentral:rRNA from 1 species
ACGCUCGACACCUACGGGAGGCGGCAGUUGGGAAUAUUGGACAAUGGAGGAAACUCUGAUCCAGUGACGCCGCGUGAAGGAAGAAGGUCUUCGGAUUGUAAACUUAUUUUGUCAGGGAAGAAAAAAUGACUGUACCUGAAGAAAAAGCACCGGCUAACUACGCGCCAGCAGCCGCGGUAAGUCUGAGCGGGCGUGGCGAAGGCG